UACGGAGGGUGCAAGCGUUAUCCGGAUUCACUGGGUUUAAAGGGUGCGUAGGCGGAUCUGUAAGUCCGUGGUGAAAUCUCUGGGCUUAACCCGGAAACUGCCAUGGAUACUAUGUGUCUUGAAUGUUGUUGAGGUGAGCGGAAUAUGUCAUGUAGCGGUGAAAUGCUUAGAUAUGACAUAGAACACCAAUUGCGAAGGCAGCUCACUAAGCAAAUAUUGACGCUGAGGCACGAAAGCGUGGGGAUCAAACAGG
rnacentral:rRNA from 1 species